GUGGAGCCGCUCGCCUCCGUCGUUGUAUGGCGGUUGGGUGCCGCAGCAGCGGCCCGUAGGCGGUGGCCGUGGAGGGUCUGCCGGAGCCGUUAGGGUCCAUCAGAGCGGGGGGAGCGAGGCCGGCGGAGCCCCGGUUGGUAGCGGCGGCUCCCCGGCUGCUUCCACAAGGCAGGAUUUUGAGGCGUUAUAGCAAGCGACUGAAAACAAGUCUCCAGGUUCCUGAGGAUGUCUUCACUAGCCAAAGCUCUGAGAGAAGGAAUUAAUAUAGAGGGCCCAAUUCUGAUACUUUGUGAUUGCAACAUCCUAAAUACAUGUGUUUUGCGUACUCAGAAAA